UGGGGAAUAUUGCGCAAUGGGCGAAAGCCUGACGCAGCGACGCCGCGUGAGGGAUGAAGGUUUUCGGAUCGUAAACCUCUGUCAGAAGGGAAGAAACCGCACUGUGCUAAUCAGCAGUGCCUUGACGGUACCUUCAAAGGAAGCACCGGCUAACUCCGUGCCAGCAGCCGCGGUAAUACGGAGGGUGCAAGCGUUAAUCGGAAUUACUGGGCGUAAAGCGCACGUAGGCUGCUUUGUAAGUCCGGGGUGAAAUCCCACGGCUCAACCGUGGAACUGCCUUUGAGACUGCUUAGCUUGAAUCCGGGAGAGGGUGGGGGAAUUCCAGGUGUAGGGGUGAAAUCCGUAGAUAUCUGGAGGAACAUCAGUGGCGAAGGCGGCCACCUGGACCGGUAUUGACGCUGGGGUGCGAAAGCGUGGGGAGCAAACAGG
rnacentral:rRNA from 1 species